rnacentral:rRNA from 1 species
CAGCAGCCGCGGGAAUACGUAGGGUGCAAGCGUUAAUCGGAAUUACUGGGCGUAAAGCGUGCGCAGGCGGUUAUAUAAGUCAGAUGUGAAAUCCCCGGGCUCAACCUGGGAACUGCAUUUGAGACUGUAUGGCUAGUGUGUGUCAGAGGGGGGUAGAACUCCACGUGUAGCAGUGAAAUGCGUAGAUAUGUGGAGGAAUACCGAUGGCGAAGGCAGCCCCCUGGGAUAACACUGACGCUCAUGCACGAAAGCGUGGGGAGCAAACAGGAUUAGAUACCCGCGUAGUCCCUGUCUCUUAUAC